rnacentral:misc_RNA from 1 species
GAUGAAGAACGCAGUGAAAUGCGAUAAGUAAUGUGAAUUGCAGAAUUCAGUGAAUCAUCGAAUCUUUGAACGCACCUUGCACCCUUUGGCAUUCUGAAGGGUAUGCUCGUUUGAGUGUCAUUGUACUCUCACACUCCCGAUCUUUGCAUUGGGAGCAGUGGACUUGGGUUCGCUGCUUCACCGUCGCUUACCUCAAAUAGGUUAGUGCAACUCUUGGUUGGACAUAGUACGGCGUGAUAAGUGUUCUUCGCCGGUGCCUCGCAAAGAGGGUGGCCGAUCGGGAUGUUGUGCUCCAAACCGUCUUCGGACAAUCUCUGACGACUUGACCUCAAAUCGAGUAAGACUACCCGCUGAACUUAAGCAUAUCAAUAAGCGGAGGA